UACAGAGGUCCCGAGCGUUGUUCGGAUUCACUGGGCGUAAAGGGUGCGUAGGUGGUCGGGUAAGUCUGAUGUGAAAUCUCGGAGCUCAACUCCGAAACGGCAUUGGAUACUAUCCGGCUUGAGGAUCGGAGGGGGGACUGGAAUUCUUGGUGUAGCAGUGAAAUGCGUAGAUAUCAAGAGGAACACCAGUGGCGAAGGCGAGUCCCUGGACGAGACCUGACACUGAGGCACGAAAGCUAGGGGAG
rnacentral:rRNA from 1 species